GCUCAGGACGAACGCUGGCUGCGUGCUUAACACAUGCAAGCGCUGAAGCCCCGCUGGGGUGGAUGAGUGGCGAACGGGUGAGUAACACGUGAGUAACCUGCCCCUGACUUCGGGAUAAGCCCGGGAAACUGGGUCUAAUACCGGAUACGACCGUCGGACGCAUGUCUGGUGGUGGAAAGUUUUUUCGGUUGGGGAUGGGCUCGCGGCCUAUCAGUUUGUUGGUGAGGUAAUGGCUCACCAAGACGACGACGGGUAGCCGGCCUGAGAGGGCGACCGGCCACACUGGGACUGAGACACGGCCCAGACUCCUACGGGAGGCAGCAGUGGGGAAUAUUGCACAAUGGGGGAAACCCUGAUGCAGCGACGCAGCGUGCGGGAUGACGGCCUUCGGGUUGUAAACCGCUUUCAGCAGGGAAGAAGCGCAAGUGACGGUACCUGCAGAAGAAGUACCGGCUAACUACGUGCCAGCAGCCGCGGUAAUACGUAGGGUACGAGCGUUGUCCGGAAUUAUUGGGCGUAAAGAGCUCGUAGGUGGUUGGUCACGUCUGCUGUGGAAACGCAACGCUUAACGUUGCGCGUGCAGUGGGUACGGGCUGACUAGAGUGCAGUAGGGGAGUCUGCUGGUGUAGCGGUGAAAUGCGCAGAUAUCAGGAGGAACACCGGUGGCGAAGGCGGGACUCUGGGCUGUAACUGACACUGAGGAGCGAAAGCAUGGGGAGCGAACAGGAUUAGAUACCCUGUAGUCCAUGCCGUAAACGUUGGGCACUAGGUGUGGGGGGCAUUCCACGUUCUCCGCGCCGUAGCUAACGCAUGCCCCGCCUGGGGAGUACGGUCGCAAGGCUAAACUCAAAGGAAUGACGGGGGCCCGCACAGCGGCGGAGCAUGCGAUAUUCGAUGCAACGCGAAGAACCUUACCAGGCUGACAUACACUGAACCGGUCUGGAAACAGGUCUCCCUUUU
rnacentral:rRNA from 1 species